UAGGGAAUCUUCCGCAAUGGGCGAAAGCCUGACGGAGCAACGCCGCGUGAGUGAUGAAGGUCUUCGGAUCGUAAAACUCUGUUAUUAGGGAAGAACAAAUGUGUAAGUAACUAUGCACGUCUUGACGGUACCUAAUCAGAAAGCCACGGCUAACUACGUGCCAGCAGCCGCGGUAAUACGUAGGUGGCAAGCGUUAUCCGGAAGUAUUGGGCGUAAAGCGGGCGUAGGCGGUUUUUUAAGUCUGAUGUGAAAGCCCACGGCUCAACCGUGGAGGGUCAUUGGAAACUGGAAAACUUGAGUGCAGAAGAGGAAAGUGGAAUUCCAUGUGUAGCGGUGAAAUGCGCAGAGAUAUGGAGGAACACCAGUGGCGAAGGCGACUUUCUGGUCUGUAACUGACGCUGAUGUGCGAAAGCGUGGGGAUCAAACAGG
rnacentral:rRNA from 1 species